GCCUGGCUAGCUCAGUCGGUAGAGCAUGAGACUCUUAAUCUCAGGGUCGUGGUUCGAGCCCACGUUGGGCG
rnacentral:tRNA from 1 species